rnacentral:rRNA from 1 species
UACGUAGGGGGCAAGCGUUAUCCGGAUUUACUGGGUGUAAAGGGAGCGUAGACGGCAAGGCAAGUCUGGAGUGAAAGCCCGGGGCCCAACCCCGGGACUGCUCUGGAAACUGUGGUGCUAGAGUGCAGGAGGGGUGGGCGGAAUUCCUAGUGUAGCGGUGAAAUGCGUAGAUAUUAGGAGGAACACCAGCGGCGAAGGCGGCCCACUGGACUGCGACUGACGUUGAGGCUCGAAGGCGUG